ensembl:processed_transcript
GUGGGCCAGCUAUCUCUGGCUUGUCCUGCACUGUGAACCCAGCUCCUGCCUCUGAGGUACCUUCCCUUCCUGACACCACCUAGAGGGCCUCCAUAUAGACUCCCAGGAGUCACCAUGAAGGCCAGAACAAGGCUGUGCCAUUAUGCUGCACACUGACCUGAGAACACUCCCAGGAUAGAGCUGGCUGCCUUGUGCUCAGUUCCUCCCUCAAGCCCUCCCUCCAUGCAACUAGGCCAGUCCACAAGGACAGGAGGAUGCCAAGGAUGACCUUGGAUUCCUGGUCCUUCUGCCUCCAUAUCCUGAGAGCUGGAACUGCAGACCUAGGCCAGCAUGCCUGGUGUGGUGCAGUGCCGUGGACAGAACCCAGGACCUUGAUUCCCACCAUGACAUUCUUGUGGUUUUAUAAGGACAAGGCCAAACAGCCCGAGAAACUGCCAACGGGAGGUUCUGGAACACUCUGUGGGCAGGAGCAGAGGCCAUGACUUGAACCUGGACCUGACAUCGGUAGUGCUCCCAACUGCAGUCAUCCCUUAACAGCUGGCCAGCUGCCAGGUUCCUUUCUCCUCCCAGCCUCUGUUUACCCAGCUCGCACAAUCAGCUUCAUAAGUCUGCAAUUGUUUUCUUUUUUACUCUGAAA